rnacentral:rRNA from 1 species
AGCAGUGGGGAAUAUUGGGCAAUGGGCGAAAGCCUGACCCAGCAACGCCGCGUGAAGGAUGACGGUCUUCGGAUUGUAAACUUCUUUUAUGAGGGACGAAGGACGUGACGGUACCUCAUGAAUAAGCCACGGCUAACUACGUGCCAGCAGCCGCGGUAAU